UGGGGAAUCUUGCGCAAUGGCCGAAAGGCUGACGCAGCGACGCCGCGUGUGGGAUGACGCCUUUCGGGGUGUAAACCACUGUUGCCCGGGACGAACAGCUCUUUUCGAGGAGCCUGACGGUACCGGGUGAGGAAGCACCGGCUAACUCCGUGCCAGCAGCCGCGGUAAUACGGAGGGUGCGAGCGUUGUCCGGAAUCACUGGGCGUAAAGGGCGCGUAGGCGGUUGGGGAAGUCCGUGGUGAAAGCUCGUCGCUCAACGACGAGUCGGCCAAGGAUACUCCUCGACUUGAGCACUGUAGAGGCAGGUGGAAUUCCGGGUGUAGCGGUGGAAUGCGUAGAGAUCCGGAAGAACACCGGUGGCGAAGGCGGCCUGCUGGGCAGUAGCUGACGCUGAGGCGCGACAGCGUGGGGAGCAAACAG
rnacentral:rRNA from 1 species